UCUACGGGUGGCAGCAGUGGGGAAUAUUGCACAAUGGGGGGAACCCUGAUGCAGCGACGCCGCGUGAGUGAAGAAGUACUUCGGUAUGUAAAGCUCUGUCAGCAGGGAAGAAGAAAGACGGUACCUGACCAAGAAGCCCCGGCUAACUACGUGCCAGCAGCCGCGGUAAUACGUAGGGGGCAAGCGUUAGACGGAUUUACUGGGUGUAAAGGGAGCGUAGACGGCAGGGCAAGUCUGGAGUGAAAGGCGGGGGCCCAACCCCUGGACUGCUCUGGAAACUGUCCGGCUGGAGUGCAGGAGAGGUAAGUGGAAUUCCUAGUGUAGCGGUGAAAUGCGUAGAUAUUAGGAGGAACACCAGUGGCGAAGGCGGCUUACUGGACUGUAACUGACGUUGAGGCUCGAAAGCGUGGGGAGCAAACAGGAUUAGAUACCCUUGUAGUC
rnacentral:rRNA from 1 species